GGGGCGGGGCCUGCGUGGGGCUCGGGGCGCACGUGUCGCGGGAAAUGGAGUGGACACCGGGGGCUUCAGGGGAAGACAUCCAAACGACCGGGAGUCACGCGUGGACUCUUUCGCGCGAGGUUACCAAGCAUGUCCUGAAGAUGAAGAUACUCUCAGCCUAACGUCUCCAAGCAAAUAUUGAUUCAGCAGUAUCCCCAGGCAAAGCCACACCAUAUAUCAGUGAACAGAGAAACAACUGCCCUUCUCCGGGCCCCUGUCUGAGAAGCUGGAGCAUCAGCCCUGGAGCUCUCCGGAGCAGUUUCCUUGCUCACUGUCCCCAGCUGAACACAGGACCAGAGGGGAUACUGCCUGCUCAGGAAAGCCAAGAGGAGCCUGCUUCUCCUGAAAUGUAAAAAGUACACUGUGCAUAUGGAAAGCAUUAUUGUGUUUCACUGUGCAUCGCCAGAUUCUUCUUGCAAAACAUUGAAGCUUAGCUCAUAAUUUGGUGAUAAAAUAUUGAUUAUUUAUCCACAGCCGCAUGCAGAGGUCCAAAGCACGUAAACAGGAUACCCACCCUGCAUUAUCUUAUAUUUUAAGUCAAUAUGAAGAUGGACAUUCUACCCCUGAGACCAAUUUCGAUCAAAUACUUUUGUCAAUAAAAAGAUACUAAUGUCCGA
rnacentral:lncRNA from 1 species